rnacentral:rRNA from 1 species
AUGAACGCUGGCGGCGUGCCUAAUACAUGCAAGUCGAGCGCACAGACGAGGAGCUUGCUCCUCUGACGUUAGCGGCGGACGGGUGAGUAACACGUGGAUAACCUACCUAUAAGACUGGGAUAACUUCGGGAAACCGGAGCUAAUACCGGAUAAUAUAUUGAACCGCAUGGUUCAAUAGUGAAAGACGGUUUUGCUGUCACUUAUAGAUGGAUCCGCGCCGCAUUAGCUAGUUGGUAAGGUAACGGCUUACCAAGGCAACGAUGCGUAGCCGACCUGAGAGGGGGAUCGCCCCACGUGAACCGGGGACCCGGCCCAACCUCCUAGGGGGGGCAGAGGUAGGGAAUUUUCCGAAAGGGGGGAAAGCCUGACGGGGCAACCCCGCGUGAGUGAGGAAGGUCUUCGGAUCGUAAAACCCUUUUAUUGGGGAAGAACAAAUGUGUAAGUAACAUGGCCCGUCUUGACGGUACCAAAGCAAAAAGCCACGGCUAACUACGG